rnacentral:rRNA from 1 species
CAGCAGCCGCGGGAAUACGUAGGGUGCGAGCGUUAAUCGGAAUUACUGGGCGUAAAGCGUGCGCAGGCGGUUGUGUAAGACAGGUGUGAAAUCCCCGGGCUUAACCUGGGAACUGCGCUUGUGACUGCACAGCUAGAGUGUGGCAGAGGGGGGUGGAAUUCCACGUGUAGCAGUGAAAUGCGUAGAGAUGUGGAGGAACACCGAUGGCGAAGGCAGCCCCCUGGGCCAAUACUGACGCUCAUGCACGAAAGCGUGGGGAGCAAACAGGAUUAGAUACCCCAGUAGUCCCUGUCUCUUAUAC